AUUGAACGCUGGCGGCAGGCCUAACACAUGCAAGUCGAGCGGAUGAAGGGAGCUUGCUCCUGGAUUCAGCGGCGGACGGGUGAGUAAUGCCUAGGAAUCUGCCUGGUAGUGGGGGAUAACGUCCGGAAACGGGCGCUAAUACCGCAUACGUCCUGAGGGAGAAAGUGGGGGAUCUUCGGACCUCACGCUAUCAGAUGAGCCUAGGUCGGAUUAGCUAGUUGGUGGGGUAAAGGCCUACCAAGGCGACGAUCCGUAACUGGUCUGAGAGGAUGAUCAGUCACACUAGAACUGAGACACGGUCCAGACUCCUACGGGAGGCAGCAGUGGGGAAUAUUGGACAAUGGGCGAAAGCCUGAUCCAGCCAUGCCGCGUGUGUGAAGAAGGUCUUCGGAUUUUAAAGCACUUUAAGUUGGGAGGAAGGGCAGUAAGUUAAUACCUUGCUGUUUCGACGUUACCAACAGAAUAAGCACCGGCUAACUUCGUG
rnacentral:rRNA from 1 species